CUGGUUCUCCCCGAAAUGCAUUUAGGUGCAGCGUCGUGCGUUCAGUCAUGGGGGUAGAGCACUGAAUGGGUUAGGGGGCCUACAAGCUUACCGACCCCAAUCAAACUCCGAAUACCAUGACUCCAGAGCACGGCAGUGAGACCGCGGGGGAUGAGCUUCGCGGUCGAGAGGGAAACAGCCCAGAUCGCCGGCUAAGGCCCCUAAUUCUGGACUAAGUGGAAAACGAUGUGAGACUGCCCAGACAGCCAGGAGGUUGGCUUAGAAGCAGCCACCCUUGAAAGAGUGCGUAACAGCUCACUGGUCGAGUGGUCUUGCGCGGAUAAUGUAACGGGGCUCAAGUCCAGAGCCGAAGCCGCGAAUUCACGAUUUAUCGUGAGUGGUAGGGGAGCGUUGUAUGUGCAGCGAAGCGGCGGUGUGAACCAGUCGUGGAGCGCAUACAAGUGAGAAUGCUGGCAUGAGUAGCGAGAGGAGGGGUGAGAAACCCCUCGCCGUAAGCCC
rnacentral:rRNA from 1 species